UACGGAGGGUGCAAGCGUUAUCCGGAUUUACUGGGUUUAAGGGGGCGUAGGUGGACAGGAAAGUCAGUGGUGAAAUCUUCGAGCUUAACUCGGAAACUGCCAUUGAUACUAUUUGUCUUGAAUACUUUGGAGGUAAGCGGAAUAUGUCAUGUAGCGGUGGAAUGCUUAGAUAUGACAUAGAACACCAAUUGCGAAGGCGGCCUACUACACAGUUAUUGACACUGAGGCGCGAAAGCGUGGGGAUCAAACAGG
rnacentral:rRNA from 1 species